UACGACUACAUAUCAGGCAUAUCAAUAAGCGGAGGAAAAGAAACUAACAAGGAUUCCCCUAGUAACGGCGAGUGAAGCGGGAAGAGCUCAAAUUUAAAAUCUUCAAGGUUUUACCUUGACGAAUUGUAGUUUAAAGAAGUGUUUUCUGUUGAAGUUUCGGUAAAAGUUCUUUGGAAUAGGACAUCAUAGAGGGUGAGAAUCCCGUAUUUGACCGUUAUUUUCAGCUGUGUGAUACACUUUCAAAGAGUCGGAUUGUUUGGGAAUGCAGUCCAAAAUGGGUGGUAAAUUUCAUCUAAAGCUAAAUAUUGGCGAGAGACCGAUAGCGAACAAGUACCGUGAGGGAAAGAUGAAAAGAACUUUGAAAAGAGAGUUAAACAGUACGUGAAAUUGUCAAAAGGGAAGCGUUUGACACCAGUGUUGUUUUUCCGAAAAUCAAUUACGAAUGUUUUAUUUUUGAGGAGUUAUGACUUCAUCGGCUUGCUCCUUUCUUUAUGAAACUUUCUUAAUGCACUUUUCGGUUAACAAGUCAACAUCAAUUUCUUUUGUUGUAAAAGGGUAUGAGGAAGGUGGCUUUCUUUUCGGAGAAAGUGUUUAUAGCCUUGUGCCUCUGCAAUCGGAGAGAUUGAGGUCUGCAGCGUAGAUCCUUCGGGGUUAGAUACGUUUGUGCUAAGUUAUAGCUUUUCAUAGACAACUUGUUGACUAUGUUUAGUCUUGUAGCUUACUCGCUGACGCUAUUUUACCUACGCUUAGGAUGUUGAACGCGCACAGAGUCUC
rnacentral:rRNA from 1 species